rnacentral:rRNA from 1 species
UACAGAGGUCUCGAGCGUUAGGCGGAAUCACUGGGCUUAAAGCGUGUGUAGGUGGAUCGGUAAGUACCUUGUGAAAUCCCACAGCUUAACUGUGGAACUGCUUGGUAUACUGCCAGUCUUGAGCCAGCUAGGGGCUACCGGAACAAAUGGUGGAGCGGUGAAAUGCGUAGAUAUCAUUUGGAACGCCAAUGGUGAAAACAGGUAGCUGGGGCUGUGCUGACACUGAGGCGCGACAGCGUGGGGAGCAAACAGG